rnacentral:rRNA from 1 species
UCCAGACUCCUACGGGAGGCAGCAGUGGGGAAUAUUGGGCAAUGGGCGCAAGCCUGACCCAGCAACGCCGCGUGAAGGAAGAAGGCUUUCGGGUUGUAAACUUCUUUUAAGAGGGAAGAGUAGAAGACGGUACCUCUUGAAUAAGCCACGGCUAACUACGUGCCAGCAGCCGCGGUAAUACGUAGGUGGCAAGCGUUGUCCGGAUUUACUGGGUGUAAAGGGCGUGUAGCCGGGCCGGCAAGGCAGAUGUGAAAUCCCGAGGCUCAACCUUGGAACUUCAUUUGAAACUGUUGGUCUUGAGUAUCGGAGAGGCAGGCGGAAUUCCUAGUGUAGCGGUGAAAUGCGUAGAUAUUAGGAGGAACACCAGUGGCGAAGGCGGCCUGCUGGACGACAACUGACGGUGAGGCGCGAAAGCGUGGGGAGCAAACAGGAUUAGAUACCCCGGUAC